UGAUCUCUUAAUUACUGCUUAACCCUACAACUGUGAAUAAGAAGUCGAUUUUCCCCCUUAAUUAUAUUUAUUAGUUUUUUCCUAGAAUAACGGAAACAAAUCAGGAAUUGACUUGUUCUCAUUAAAUGUAAUUAUUUAGUGUAAUUAUCUAUAUAGCAUUGUAACCUCACUAUAUAUAUAAGAAAUAACAAUGAGAAAG
rnacentral:lncRNA from 1 species